rnacentral:rRNA from 1 species
UACGAAGGGGGCUAGCGUUGUUCGGAUUUACUGGGCGUAAAGCGCACGUAGGCGGAUCUUUAAGUCAGAGGUGAAAUCCCGGAGCUCAACUUCGGAACUGCCUUUGAUACUGGGGAUCUCGAGUUCGGGAGAGGUGAGUGGAACUGCGAGUGUAGAGGUGAAAUUCGUAGAUAUUCGCAAGAACACCAGUGGCGAAGGCGGCUCACUGGUCCGGUACUGACGCUGAGGUGCGAAAGCGUGGGGAGCAAACAGG